AACCCUAGACAGAGGAUCACUUGGCUCAUGGGUCGAUGAAGACCGCAGCAAACUGCGCGUCGCCAUGUGAACUGCAGGACACAUGAUCAUUGACAUGUUGAACGCAUAUUGCGCCUUAUACAUUUAGUUCUACAUUUGAUUGUGAACUGUAUAAGGUACAUAUGGUUGAGUGUCGUA
rnacentral:rRNA from 1 species